GGUUAAGCGACUAAGCGUACACGGUGGAUGCCCUGGCAGUCAGAGGCGAUGAAGGACGUGCUAAUCUGCGAUAAGCGCCGGUAAGGUGAUAUGAACCGUUAUAACCGGCGAUUUCCGAAUGGGGAAACCCAGUGUGACUCGUCACACUAUCAUUAACUGAAUCCAUAGGUUAAUGAGGCGAACCGGGGGAACUGAAACAUCUAAGUACCCCGAGGAAAAGAAAUCAACCGAGAUUCCCCCAGUAGCGGCGAGCGAACGGGGAGGAGCCCAGAGCCUGAAUCAGCAUGUGUGUUAGUGGAAGCGUCUGGAAAGGCGCGCGAUACAGGGUGACAGCCCCGUACACAAAACGCAUGUGCUGUGAGCUCGAUGAGUAGGGCGGGACACGUGGUAUCCUGUCUGAAUAUGGGGGGACCAUCCUCCAAGGCUAAAUACUCCUGACUGACCGAUAGUGAACCAGUACCGUGAGGGAAAGGCGAAAAGAACCCCGGCGAGGGGAGUGAAAAAGAACCUGAAACCGUGUACGUACAAGCAGUGGGAGCCCCACCACCAAAGCAUUCUCUGGUGUUGAAGGCCCUGCAAAGCAGCAUCGCGGUGGCGGAGCGUCGUUUGCGACGCCCAACACACAAAACAAGCGGUGAGUGCUUUGGGGUGGGGUGACUGCGUACCUUUUGUAUAAUGGGUCAGCGACUUAUAUUCUGUAGCAAGGUUAACCGCAUAGGGGAGCCGUAGGGAAACCGAGUCUUAAC
rnacentral:rRNA from 1 species